rfam:Halorientalis sp. IM1011, complete genome.
GGGUAUGUGGUCCAAUGGAAAGACGCUCGCUUCCAGAGCGAGAGACGGCUGUUCGAUUCGGUCCAUACCCA